rnacentral:rRNA from 1 species
CAUGCAAGUCGAACGAGUUCUGAUUAUUGAAAGGUGCUUGCAUCUUGAUUUAAUUUUGAACGAGUGGCGGACGGGUGAGUAACACGUGGGUAACCUGCCCUUAAGUGGGGGAUAACAUUUGGAAACAGAUGCUAAUACCGCAUAAAUCCAAGAACCGCAUGGUUCUUGGCUGAAAGAUGGCGUAAGCUAUCGCUUUUGGAUGGACCCGCGGCGUAUUAGCUAGUUGGUGAGGUAACGGCUCACCAAGGCAAUGAUACGUAGCCGAACUGAGAGGUUGAUCGGCCACAUUGGGACUGAGACACGGCCCAAACUCCUACGGGAGGCAGCAGUAGGGAAUCUUCCACAAUGGACGCAAGUCUGAUGGAGCAACGCCGCGUGAGUGAAGAAGGCUUUCGGGUCGUAAAACUCUGUUGUUGGAGAAGAAUGGUCGGCAGAGUAACUGUUGUCGGCGUGACGGUAUCCAACCAGAAAGCCACGGCUAACUACGUGCCAGCAGCCGCGGUAAUACGUAGGUGGCAAGCGUUAUCCGGAUUUAUUGGGCGUAAAGCGAGCGCAGGCGGUUUUUUAAGUCUGAUGUGAAAGCCCUCGGCUUAACCGAGGAAGUGCAUCGGAAACUGGGAAACUUGAGUGCAGAAGAGGACAGUGGAACUCCAUGUGUAGCGGUGAAAUGCGUAGAUAUAUGGAAGAACACCAGUGGCGAAGGCGGCUGUCUGGUCUGUAACUGACGCUGAGGCUCGAAAGCAUGGGUAGCGAACAGGAUUAGAUACCCUGGUAGUCCAUGCCGUAAACGAUGAAUGCUAGGUGUUGGAGGGUUUCCGCCCUUCAGUGCCGCAGCUAACGCAUUAAGCAUUCCGCCUGGGGAGUACGACCGCAAGGUUGAAACUCAAAGGAAUUGACGGGGGCCCGCACAAGCGGUGGAGCAUGUGGUUUAAUUCGAAGCAACGCGAAGAACCUUACCAGGUCUUGACAUCUUUUGAUCACCUGAGAGAUCAGGUUUCCCCUUCGGGGGCAAAAUGACAGGUGGUGCAUGGUUGUCGUCAGCUCGUGUCGUGAGAUGUUGGGUUAAGUCCCGCAACGAGCGCAACCCUUAUGACUAGUUGCCAGCAUUUAGUUGGGCACUCUAGUAAGACUGCCGGUGACAAACCGGAGGAAGGUGGGGAUGACGUCAAAUCAUCAUGCCCCUUAUGACCUGGGCUACACACGUGCUACAAUGGAUGGUACAACGAGUUGCGAGACCGCGAGGUCAAGCUAAUCUCUUAAAGCCAUUCUCAGUUCGGACUGUAGGCUGCAACUCGCCUACACGAAGUCGGAAUCGCUAGUAAUCGCGGAUCAGCACGCCGCGGUGAAUACGUUCCCGGGCCUUGUACACACCGCCCGUCACACCAUGAGAGUUUGUAACACCCGAAGCCGGUGGCGUAACCCUUUUAGGGAGCGAGCCGU